rnacentral:lncRNA from 1 species
GUGGCAUCUUAAUCAAAUUCUUCUUCGCCUUCACUUUCAAUUGUCUCUCCAAUAUCCUCACCAGAUCUGAAACCGGCACCGGCGACGUGUUUCCGAGGUUAAACACUCUCAAUUGCGCCGGACCUCUCUUCUUCCCUCCACUCCCUGUACUCUUCUCCGCCGUAUCUAGCGCCGCUAAACAUCCCUUCACUAUAUCGUCUAUGUAAGUGAAAUCCCUAGCCACCGUUCCGUGAUUCGCCGAUUCGAAUAUCGAAAUCGAUUUGCCUUUUAGAAUAUCUUUAGUGAAGAAGAAAUACGCCAUGUCUGGUCUUCCCCAAGGUCCAUACACGGUGAAAAAUCUUAAUCCGGUUAGAGAUAAUCCAUAGAUGUGGUUGUAGGUAUGUGCGAUCUCUUCGCCGGCUUUUUUAGUGGCGGCGUAUAAACUCGCCGGUUGAUCUGUUUUAUCUUUCUCCGAGAACGGAACUUUGGUGUUGAGUCCGUAGACGGAGCUAGACGAAGCCCAGACUAUAGCAGGUUGUGGAUUCACAGAUUUGCAGAUCUCGAGGAGAUUGACGAAUCCGGCGAUGUUGCUAUGAACGUACGAGCUAGGGUUUUCCAUUGCGUACCGUACACCAGCUUGAGCUGCUAAAUGCAUAACGUGUGUGAAGGAGACGAUCUUGAAUAGCUUACGGAGUAAUUCGACGUCGUUUAUGUCUCCUUCUACGAUGAAGAUCCCACUUCUCUCGAGUAAAGCUCGUCUUGCUCGUUUCAGAGAUGGAUCGUAGUAAUCGUUGAAGUUGUCGAGGCCGAUUACGCCGUCUCCGCGGCGUUUUAAUGCGGCGGAGACGUGUGUUCCGACGAAACCAGCUGCUCCGGUUACUAAAACUGUGAUUCCGUUGUUUGUUGAGGUUCGGAUUCGAGCUGAGGAUCUGAGACGUUUUUCCCAAGCUGGUCCUCCGUAGGUGUUGGUUCGGAGUGAACGGCGAGAUGGAUCGGACGGUGAAGAAGGGUUAAUGGACGGUGGAGAUCGGAGGAAGAGUAGAGAGAUGAGACAGAGGAGGAAGAAGGAGAAAAAUGCAAACUUUGUGAGAGAAGAUUGGAAUCUGAGACGAUGCAAGUAGGAAGAUUUCUCCAUCUUGAAUUUGCCUGGGCUUGAAGAACAUGGGGAUUGAAGAUUUUAGAGAUCCAAAUCAUAGGGAAAAUAUGAAGAAGAAGAAGAAGAAGAAGAAGAAGAAGAAGAAGAAGAAGAAGAAGAAGAGAGUCAAAAAAAUUACUGUAAAAAUUUGUUGACUCUUCUAAAGAUUUGUUGUCGAGUCUUGAAAUUUGAUUGGUGAGAUACUAAUACUCCAAGAUUUUCGGGAAGCCACUCGUCCCAAAAGUUUUGAAUUUGAACCAAAGUUUUAAACUUUUGUUAAUAGAUUUGUUUUGCGGAUAGUUGCUAAAUACAAAAAUGGACUCUAAAUUUGAAU